rnacentral:tRNA from 1 species
GGGGUUAUAGCUCAGUGGUAGAGUGUUUGCCUAGCACACAUAAGGUCCUGGGUUCAAUCCUCAGCACCA